AGAGUUUGAUCCUGGCUCAGAUUGAACGCUGGCGGCAUGCCUUACACAUGCAAGUCGAACGGCAGCACGGGAGCUUGCUCCUGGUGGCGAGUGGCGAACGGGUGAGUAAUACAUCGGAACGUACCCUGAAGUGGGGGAUAACGUAGCGAAAGUUACGCUAAUACCGCAUAUUCUGUGAGCAGGGAAAGAGGGGGAUCGCAAGACCUCUUGCUUUAGGAGCGGCCGAUGUCGGAUUAGCUAGUUGGUGAGGUAAAGGCUCACCAAGGCGACGAUCCGUAGCGGGGUCUGAGAGGAUGAUCCGCCACACUGGGACUGAGACACGGCCCAGACUCCUACGGGAGGCAGCAGUGGGGAAUUUUGGACAAUGGGCGCAAGCCUGAUCCAGCCAUGCCGCGUGAGUGAAGAAGGCCUUCGGGUUGUAAAGCUCUUUCGGUGGGGAAGAAAUUGCUUCGGUUAAUACCUGGAGUAGAUGACGGUACCCGCAUAAGAAGCACCGGCUAACUACGUG
rnacentral:rRNA from 1 species